rnacentral:lncRNA from 10 species
GGCCAUGCCCAACUGAAUUUCCAGCCUGGAUCUGCUAGCGGACAGAGCUCCAGCCUCCGCUGGGGGUUCUGGGGGACAGUGGCUCAUCCCGGGCUCGGGACUCGGGCAGCCCGGAGCCUCCUUCCCGGUGGUUUCUGGGCCAAGGGUCUCUCCCUGGCCAAAGGAGCGGCCGACAUCCUGUUCUGCCUGGGAGUUGGCCCCGCCCCCUCCCACGGGGACAUUAUGGGAUGGUCCGCGGUGCUGGAGGAAUCUUUGAACUUCCCAGCGCCGGGUGGGGUCCCUGAAAGUGAAACCGGUGAUACCAAAGUGAAACGGAAGCUCCGGCCCCCGCAGCCCAAGCCCGGCAGGCAGAGACGGAGAGAAGGAGAGGGGAACAGGGGCCAGCCCACGUGGCAGAGCACAGAGAGGAGAGAAGUGUGUGGGUGCCUUCUACAGCGAGCAAGACUGAAGUUAGACCCAGGCUAGAAUUUCAGCCCCUCGGUGUGGUGGACACUAUGGGACCUGAUCAACCUCUGGGGUGGGUCCGUCCUGGGCACUGCAGGGUGCUGAGCUGUGUCCCUGGCCUCCACCCACCCCCUCCCCAAUCACAACACCUAAAAAUGUCUCCAGAUAUCACCCAGUAUCGCCUGGAAGGAGGCAGAGUCACUCCAGAUGAGACCUCCUGAGCUAAAGGGUACUGGGCCACAGAGAGAGGUAGAGACUGGGCCCUGAGCCAUGACCCAAAAGGCAGCAGGCCCUGGGCUUUGGAGCUCUGUGGCCAGGUCCUGAGAGGUGCCUGGGAGGCAGCCAUCCAGUCUGGAAGAGAGGGGGUGGGGCAAGAGGCUGCCUCUCAGUUGCAGAGAGGGAACUGGGCUUGGUAAAAACGGGGCAGAAGGGACCCAUUGCAGAUGGGAAUUCUGAGUGGUGUGGUGGACACGGAUCCAGUCCCAGCAUAGCUACCAAGGCUUCUGUCUUCUGGAACAAAUAGAAGUCACCUCUUAGCAGCUGCCCAGGUGAAAAUACCCAGGCACCA